ACAGAGCACAAUACAUCCAUGCUGACACAGAAAGGCAAUAAUGACUUGACUGUGAACACAGAGCACAAUACAUCCAUGCUGACACAGAAAGGCAUUUAUGACUUGGUUGUGAACACAGAGCACAAUACAUCCUUGUUGACACAGAAAGGCAGUAAUGACUUUGCUGUUAACUCAGAGCACGAUGCAUCCAUGCUGACACAGAAAGGCAGCAAUGACUUGGAUGUAAACACCCAGAGCACAAUACAUCCAUACUGACACAGAAAGGCAGUAAAGACUUGGUUUUAAACACCCAGAGCACAAUACAUCCAUGCUGACACAGAAAGGCAGUAAAGACUUGGUUGUAAACAACCAGAGCACAAUACAUCCAUGCUGACACAGAAAGGCAGUAAAGACUUGGUUGUAAACACACAGAGCACAAUACAUUCAUGCUGACACAGAAAGGCAGUAAAGACUUGGUUGUUAACACCCAGAGCACAAUACAUCCAUGCUGACACAGAAAGGCAGUAAAGACUUUGUUGUAUACACUGAGAGAUCCAUACAUCCAUGGGGUGUGCCACAGACUCAAAUUACGCCCACUAUUGUGAACAAGGUGCUUAAAGUGAACAUGUCUGGUUUCUGUUUUCUGUUUUGUUAUGAGCACUUAGCACUCCGAGCCCAAAAGGCCUCACAUUCAAUUGAGAAGGCUUUGAAAAUGACAGCAGUUUUGUUGUGUGGUCCAGUACGCCCUUCGACUCGCAACCUGAAGAAAGCAGAACUCAAACUCGCCUCUUAGCAAUAUCAACAAGGCCAGCAUGUCAUCUCAGCUUCUUGAGCUUCAGUGAACUUUACUAGCAAACUUGACAAACGUCAUUGAAGUGAAAGUCGAUGACAACCCCCUUCUUGCACACAUACUACAACUCGCUUAAGAAAUUCAGCAUGAAGACAUCUUGCGUCAGACUACCAAGCCUCCUAUCAAUAUCUCCUCCCAUGUUGGCUACAUCAACACUUCCAACAGCAGAGCCUUGGUGAGUUCGACUUCCGUCUCAGCAUCGAUGUCGCUUAGCAACAAUUGGAUGAUGGGCGUCGACAAAUUAGGCCGGACAAGUCGCUCGAACUGAAACGAUCUGAUUCAACAGGUAGAGCAGGCGUUGCGUGACACGUCUGUUAAUGUGACUGACCUCGAUAUGUUGUUCUCAAAUAAUGUGAACCUUAGGCCUGGAGAGCAGUAUGCGAUUGACGCCAUUCAACAACAGUUGUUGUCUGCAAUUCUCGGGUUUGGGGUGGCGACUUCGGCGUCGGGACUCACUCCAUCUCUGUCUAUGGCCCAGUCGCAGCAGCAGCAGCAGCAACAAGAACAAUAAAGCCGGUUCCUACAGGAUCCCAUGCAGUCAUAGAUCGGUACCCAGCUGAACAACAGAAUGUCUGGUAAGCUGGGCCUGGAUAGGUGCAGCCAGUCUAAAGCUGGGGCUCCAAACUUUCCUGCCAAGUGGGCUGAUAUUACCUCUUCUACAAGGGACAUAUGUCAGUGAUGCGCAAAGAGCUGGUUUUCUGUUCACAGAGAAAAAUCCUAACAACUCCAACUCAGCCACUUCAUCUCAAUAGACAACCCGAAUAUCAAGGCGUUAAGUUUGUUCUGGAUGCAGUUACAGUCACAGCUUUCAAGCCAGCAGCUGUCAAUGUAUUGAGAUUCUCUCCUCUCCAUGUUAUCUGACCUGCUGCCUGUGAACAUCCUGCACAUAGACCCUUUAUCCCAAUCGAUGUAAUUAAACCGGCCAAUCAAAAAGACAGCCUGGUACAGCACUUGUCAUUAGAUUGACGCCAUGCAUGCCUUUGAAGAUCAUUUAUACAUACAAUUUAAGCAUGAUAGUCAAUAAGUGCCUGCGUUGGCUUCUUAAAAGACUCGCAGUUCUGAGCAUUAACGAUGGAAUUCCUCAUCUUGAAAUAUUGGGAAGGCAGGAAAACACCUGACAAUAUUUAACUUAUUUAUUGUAUAAACAAGACAUGCUUAUUUUUAGUUUUUACCUGUAAAAUAGCAAUAUGUGCUAGAUAAGAUAAUUGAUCAGAACGGUUCAUAAUUGUGAUGCUUCUAUUUGGAUUUGUCUGUCAUUCUGUCUGUGUACAUUUCUCAUCAGUUUGCUCUUUUGAGACAGUAUUUUGUCAAGAAUUUCAUGUAGUGAUGUAAUAGUAAAAUAUCAUAUUAUAAUUUGAUUUAUUCAAAGUAUAUUAACCUUCUGUUAAUUAUCAAUUUAUUUAUUGACAACAGAUACUUUGUUUAAUAUUAACAAUAGUUAAGCGCGUUAUAAAAAUUGUGUGAAUGUACAUGCAUAAUAUUGCGAUAAUUAAUGCACACAUUAGGGGAAAAACUAUAUAAAUAAAGUGGAAUUUAGAAGUGCAUCUUAAUUGUAAUGGUUUAAAUAUUAAAUAGGAUGCUUUCAUUGUUGAAAAUAUUAUACUAAUUCAUCCACAAGUAAUUUUGUUUCAAAGUGAGUAUUUUCAUGAAUAAUGAUCCUAGAUAUGGUUGUAGAUUGUUCUUGUUGUAUCAUAUACUGACAUGCCCAUCAUUUGUGUUGACAUUUGCAUUCUAGCAUUAAAAGUUCAUUAUGCUUUAAAUAUUUGUAUGUUCACAUUUGCG